GAUGAACGCUGGCGGCGUGCCUAAUACAUGCAAGUCGAGCGAACAGAUAAGGAGCUUGCUCCUUUGACGUUAGCGGCGGACGGGUGAGUAACACGUGGGUAACCUACCUAUAAGACUGGGAUAACUUCGGGAAACCGGAGCUAAUACCGGAUAAUAUUUCGAACCGCAUGGUUCGAUAGUGAAAGAUGGUUUUGCUAUCACUUAUAGAUGGACCCGCGCCGUAUUAGCUAGUUGGUAAGGUAACGGCUUACCAAGGCGACGAUACGUAGCCGACCUGAGAGGGUGAUCGGCCACACUGGAACUGAGACACGGUCCAGACUCCUACGGGAGGCAGCAGUAGGGAAUCUUCCGCAAUGGGCGAAAGCCUGACGGAGCAACGCCGCGUGAGUGAUGAAGGUCUUCGGAUCGUAAAACUCUGUUAUUAGGGAAGAACAUACGUGUAAGUAACUGUGAACGUCUUGAGGGUACCUAAUCAGAGAGCCACGGCUAACUACGUG
rnacentral:rRNA from 1 species